UUGAUGAAGAUAAAGAUUCUGUCUCAUUCCAUCUUUUCAUGACAUAAACUCGGUGCAUACUAAAACCUUACUUCUGAUCAUGUGGAAAUGGAAGUGUAAGGAACUUUAUGUUCAAUAUUGCAUUCUGACAUCAAAGCCAUACAAAUUUAAUGAUAUCAAUGUUAGGAACAAGAUUGUCUCAUGGAUUAUUGAAAUCUUUAAACCCAAACGCUGAAGGAAAUGGAAACGACUAAAUCCUUGGAUGAUGGAUUAAGCCAAAUCCAUGAAAAAUGAGGGAAAUGUCUCAAAAUGAGAGAGAAUAGAAUAGCUUCCUACCAAGGCCUUAUGUAGCUUACAAAAUGAAGAAAAUAUAACCAGCAAACUAACAAAGAUUCAUUCCAACAGGGUUGAUGUCAAAGCAGCUAAGGCUGCUAAGACGAAGGUUGUAGCAGUCCUGUCCCAUGGGGAAAUUGAGUGUUCUUCCCCAGCAGAUGAAAGGAUGCAUCAUUGCCUGACUAAGCUUUUGGAACGUUCUUCGAUUGGGCUGGAAUUGGUACGGCUUAGAUCAUCAAGGUUGUGGUGAACAUAGGAUGGAAUUGCAGUUCCUGCACAAAAAAGAGAAGGAUUUAGAAACUAUGGUCAGUGGACGAAUGUGAUAGCAAAAUAUUUGAGCAGCAGAUGCAACUGAUGCUUAAUGGCUACAUCUGCAGACUGAAUAGCAAGGUAAAGAAUAGAACAAAGCCCUAAACAAUGAGUGACACAACGUGUUAUUUGAUCGGCAUCGGCAUCAACCCACCAGUAGUAUAUAAACACUUCUUUGUUUGCAAUGUUUUAUAUUGUGCUUUUGCCUUCAUGGUGAGUUCUAAGUUUAGAUGUAUGUUAUCACAACAACUCUGGAUUCGGGGGUGAAUGAACAUGAACACUCUAGUCAAGUCCAGUGGUGGCUAGCCAACUGUGCAGCGUUUUCCGCGAAACAGAUUAAAACGACGUCGUCAGCCCUCCCAGCACUCUGCUUUAUAAUUUUUUGAA